GUAGGUGGCAAGCGUUGUCCGGAAUUAUUGGGCGUAAAGCGCGCGCAGGCGGUUCUUUAAGUCUGAUGUGAAAGCCCACGGCUCAACCGUGGAGGGUCAUUGGAAACUGGAGAACUUGAGUACAGAAGAGGAAAGCGGAAUUCCACGUGUAGCGGUGAAAUGCGUAGAGAUGUGGAGGAACACCAGUGGCGAAGGCGGCUUUCUGGUCUGUAACUGACGCUGAGGCGCGAAAGCGUGGGGAGCAAACAGGGAUUAGAUACCCUGGUAGUCCACGCCGUAAACGAUGAGUGCUAAGUGUUAGGGAGUUUCCGCCCCCCUUAGUGCUGCAGCUAACGCAUUAAGCACUCCGCCCUGGGAGUACGGCCGCAAGGCUG
rnacentral:rRNA from 1 species